CGAGUGUAGAGGUGAAAUUCGUAGAUAUUCGGAGGAAACACCAGUGGCGAAGGCGGCUCACUGGCUCGAUACUGACGCUGAGGCGCGAAAGUGUGGGGAGCAAACAGGAUUAGAUACCCUGGUAGUCCACACCGUAAACGAUGGAUGCUAGCCGUUGGACAGUUUACUGUUCAGUGGCGCAGCUAACGCAUUAAGCAUCCCGCCUGGGGAGUACGGUCGCAAGAUUAAAACUCAAAGGAAUUGACGGGGGCCCGCACAAGCGGUGGAGCAUGUGGUUUAGUUCGAAGCAACGCGCAGAACCUUACCAGCCCUUGACAUACCAAUCGCGGUUUUCAGAGAUGAAUUCCUUCAGUUCGGCUGGAUUGGAUACAGGUGCUGCAUGGCUGUCGUCAGCUCGUGUCGUGAGAUGUUGGGUUAAGUCCCGCAACGAGCGCAACCCUCGCCAUUAGUUGCCAGCAUUUAGUUGGGCACUCUAAUGGGACUGCCGGUGAUAAGCCGGAGGAAGGUGGGGAUGACGUCAAGUCCUCAUGGCCCUUACGGGCUGGGCUACACACGUGCUACAAUGGUGGUGACAGUGGGCAGCGAGACCGCGAGGUCAAGCUAAUCUCCAAAAACCAUCUCAGUUCGGAUUGUUCUCUGCAACUCGAGAGCAUGAAGUUGGAAUCGCUAGUAAUCGUAGAUCAGCAUGCUACGGUGAAUACGUUCCCGGGCCUUGUACACACCGCCCGUCACACCAUGGGAGUGGGUUGCUCCAGAAGUGGCUAGUCUAACCUUCGGGAGGACGGUCACCACGGAGUGAUUCAUGACUGGGGUGAAGUCGUAACAAGGUAGCCA
rnacentral:rRNA from 1 species